AUUGAACGCUGGCGGCAUGCCUUACACAUGCAAGUCGAACGGUAACGGGCCUUCGGGUGCCGACGAGUGGCGAACGGGUGAGUAAUGUAUCGGAACGUACCUUUUAGUGGGGGAUAACGUAGCGAAAGUUACGCUAAUACCGCAUAUUCUGUGAGCAGGAAAGCAGGGGAUCGCAAGACCUUGCGCUGAUUGAGCGGCCGAUAUCAGAUUAGCUAGUUGGUGAGGUAAAGGGUCACCAAGGCGACGAUCUGUAGCGGGUCUGAGAGGAUGAUCCGCCACACUGGAACUGAGACACGGUCCAGACUCCUACGGGAGGCAGCAGUGGGGAAUUUUGGACAAUGGGGGCAACCCUGAUCCAGCCAUGCCGCGUGAGUGAAGAAGGCCUUCGGGUUGUAAAGCUCUUUCGGCCGGGAAGAAAUCGUAUCAGCUAAUACCUGGUGCGGAUGACGGUACCGGCAUAAGAAGCACCGGCUAACUACGUGCCAGCCGCCGCGGUAACAC
rnacentral:rRNA from 1 species